GGAGUUGUUUCUAAGAGAAGGCCAAGACUUGAUGCUAUGAGAAUAGAGCCUUAUCUUUUGGAUGCCGAGGGUCGUGUUUUUUGGAACUUAAGAUGUUGUGGCGGUAAUGAGCUGUUACUUCAAGAUAUGGGGACCUGGGAUGUGAAUGCAUCAGCUGAAAAGUGGACUAUCUAUGAACGGAAAGAAGAUAUUGAGGAAUACAUUUCUUCAGUAAGGGCAAAAAGGAUAAGGAGUUGUAAAAUUGCUCCUGCUUAAUUAGUGCAAGUGAUGUAGAAGAAUUAUAUUGAUUCUUUGGAUAUUUCACCACUUUAGGCCAUAUAAUUGGGGCUAUAUGGGGAGUCAAUUGCUGUACUUCCUUCAGGUGCGCUUUUUUCGCUGCAUCAUUGAUAACAUAAACGUGAAAGUGUCCAGAGAAUUUAUCUCCUACUGUAUAUUUUUGACAGCAUCGCUUGUUGUAUGAGGCCGGAUGAUUUUAAAUUUUAGAGGCAGAAUGUACCAGGAAUGGAUUUAACCCUUAACAGUUGUUUAGCAUGUCAGCUAUAUAGUACUUUGCUCACUUUCGAUUUGUUUUUUGUCUUUUUUUUUGAAUCUUUGUUGAAAAUGUGGGAUAUAGCAUCGCUUAUUAUGGACUAUGUAAUACCUUGUAUAACAGUGAAAAAAAUUGGCAAGGCUUUAAUGUUUGUUGGAAAUGUGGAAUGGAGC